CACAAGCAGCAUCACAAGAAAAGUUAAAGCAGUUAAGAGAGAAUAAUCAUGCUUUGGUAUGGAGUCAGCAGGAAGUCCGAAUUAAAGAGUUGGAAUAUGAAUUCUCCAGAAUGAAAACUUCACAGGAAGACUUGAAUAAAAGAGAAUUAGAAAAAUGCAAGCAACGAAUAGAAAAUUUGGUAUCCAGAAUGAAAACUUAUGAGGAGGAAUCUCGUAAAAAAGAAUUGGAAAAAAGCAAGCAGCUCUUCCUAAAAGAACUUAAAGUUAGAAAAUAAAAAAAAUAAUGAAAUGAAUAAAGUUAGAAAAUCAUUGGCAAAUGAGCUAAAAAGAUGCAACAGGAACUGGAAAAAAUAUUACUAGAGAAGUGGAAGAAGCUGCCGCUGAAUUUGAAUCUGCAUCCUAUAGAUCUUCUCCAGGAUCUACCAAUGGGUCAAAUCUAACUCAGGAUUUACUUAUGCAAACAUCACAAGAAUAUGUAGAGAUUUAAAAAAAAUUAUCUGAUAUGAACUACAAAUUAU